AUGACCUUUGUCCUAAUAACAUCUGGAACCUAAACAAAAUAUCUUUCCACCUUCCAGAUCCCAUCCAAAAAAUAAUUAAUACCAUCCCUUUCCCUUUAAACCAUAACUCCAAAGAUAUUAUUAUAUGGGAAAAUAGUGGAAGUGGUCGUUUUACCACGACCUCUUGCUACACCCUCAUCAAUAAUCUUUAUCAUAGUAGAAACAAUUUCAAAUGGAUCUGAAAAAUCAACUGCCCCAACAAGAUCAAAUAUUUUCUAUGGUAGGUUUUCCAUAACAAACUUCCCACCAGAUCCUUCCUAGCUCAUAUUGGUAUCAAUAUUGACAAACACCGCACAACAUAUCGCGAGGCAGAAGAGACUAUAGAGCACAUCUUUUUAAACUGUCCACUUGUUCUCAGGUUGUGGCAAACUUUAGGUAUUCACCACAUACCCCUCAACACAAACGUCCAUUGGCUACUCACCAUCAAAAUAUUGAAUCAUAGUUUACCUGCUCUCCCGAUUACAUGGGAAGACUUCUUUGCUUUUGCCAUCUGGGACAUCAGGCUUAACAAAAAUAACAACCUCCACAACAAUACAACCCUUGAUUUGAAAGCUAACACUAUGAUAAAUCAUGCUUCAGAAUACAAAUUCCUAGCCGAAAAUGAACCCUACAUGCUUGCCCAGAAAAAAAUUGUGGUAUAUUGGCAUAAACCACCCAGAAAUUGGUACAAGCUCAAAAUGGGUGGUGCUUUUGAAAAAGGAUCAGCCGUUAUAGGAGGAGUCUUCAUAACUAGCUCGAGAGACUGGAUCCUGGGCUUCAACCAACAAGUCCAUGCUAUGACUAUCCUACACUCAGAACUCCUAGCUCCCCAAACAGGUUGUUAAUGCCUCAGAAGAAGGAUGAGAUGGUGAUCAGGCAUAACUUUCGUCAAGGAAACAUGGUCGCUCACAUGUUAGUCAAGGAAGCCUCUAAUCAGUCCAAAAUCAGGAAAAUAUCAAUUUUUGCUACUUCACCACCUUUCGUUAUGCAGCAAGUUUCUCUAGAUAAACUAGGUUGUUCUCCUUUUGUUAAACACCUCUCAGAAGGUGCAUGUAAUUUGUUAGCAAGUUAUGAGAACUUAAGUGUCCACCAUGAGGCACAAAUGAUCUGUAAUAUUAUGAACAAUAUUUAGUAUUAAUAUAAGUAUCUAUCUUCCUUCUCA